AUGAUUUCAACUGUGGCAAUAAGCUCAUCUAAAUUUGAUGCAAUCAAAGGCCAUGGAAGAGAACAUGGUGAUGGCAUAGAUUGGGUUGGUUCGGGAACUUGGGGAGGUUGGGGAGGACCUAGAGAAGAAAGGGGAGAAGGACAAGAAGAACGUUCAGAAGGAGGAGAAAACGAAGAACCUGGAGAAGGAAAUAGAGAAAGAUAUGAAGGAGAACGUGGUGAGAUGGAAUAUGGAGAUCCUAAUGAAGAACCAUGA